GACGAACGCUGGCGGCGUGCUUAACACAUGCAAGUCGAACGGAAAGGCCCUGCUUUUGUGGGGUGCUCGAGUGGCGAACGGGUGAGUAACACGUGAGUAACCUGCCCUUGACUUUGGGAUAACUUCAGGAAACUGGGGCUAAUACCGGAUAGGAGCUCCUGCUGCAUGGUGGGGGUUGGAAAGUUUCGGCGGUUGGGGAUGGACUCGCGGCUUAUCAGCUUGUUGGUGGGGUAGUGGCUUACCAAGGCUUUGACGGGUAGCCGGCCUGAGAGGGUGACCGGCCACACUGGGACUGAGAUGCGGCCCAGACUCCUACGGGACGCAGCAGUGGAGAAUAGUGCACAAUGGGCGGAAGCCUGAUGCAGCAACGCCGCGUGCGGGAUGACGGGCUUCGGGUUGUAAACCGCUUUCGCCUGUGACGAAGCGUGAGUGACGGUAAUGGGUAAAGAAGCACCGGCUAACUACGUG
rnacentral:rRNA from 1 species